GAAUCAAUUCCGUAAAUCUCGGGCACCAUGGUAUAAAUUUAUACCUAUCUGGAUGAUUUUCAUUGGUUUGGGGUAUAUUUUGAUUUACUCAAUUUAUUAUUGGUCCACCCAUUUCGAUUUAAGAAGAAAAAUCCAAAAGGGAGUACCAUUUUUGUGGAUGAAAACAAAACUAAAAGAAAGGGGGAAUGGAAAUUUUGAAUUUCAAAAUCUCCUUCAAAAAUCUCUGAUUGAACCCCUAAUUCGUCUUCUAUAUAAACACCCUUGGUGUCACAGUUUAGGGGGUCAGAAAAAUUAAAGGUUGGAGGAGGGUUAGAAACCUUAGGGUUUGAAAAUUGUUUGAAGAAAUUAGGUCGAGAAUUUUUCUUUUGGUUUCGAGAUUUUUUGUUCUAGGGUUCUGAAUUGGGGAAUUUUUUCUUUUCUUUCCCUCCUAGGUUCUCUAUGAGGAGUUCUCCUAAAAGAUGAUAAGGGAGAAAAUUUCAGGGCUCGAAGGAGGAGGGUUUGAAACUUCUAGGGUGUAAAAAUCUAAGGAGAGAUGAAUUUUUUUUGCUGUUUAGGGAUCUUCUUGAUUCUUUCUUUCUCUUUUGGAGUUGGAAAUUCUUUGGGAAAAAUUCUAAGUGGUGGUGGUUGUGAUUUUGACAAAAGUUUGAGUCCCGUUUGCUGCCACGAAACAGGGUUAGACGAACAAGACUAAGGAAAUAAUGAUGAACAAAAAAGGUGAUGAAGAGCAGUUAUUAGUAGAUACAGAGGAAUAUGAAAAUCAAAAGAAGCCCAACCUGGAGGAGCCCUAAUCCUACCUGAGAUGGAUGGUGAAGAGUUGACCAAACCAAUCAAUUCUAAUGCGGUAAAGAUAUAUCAUGCUUGAAAGAUGUUAUAGUUUUUAUUUCUUGGCUUAUUUGUAAUUACCUUUAUAAUAGUAUCAAUUUUAUGAUGUGUAAUCGCCUAGAAUCCUUUCCCUUUAUGUACGAAUUACGUUUGACCUGAAUUCCCAAGAAAAGGAUACGUAGGUGGCCUAUUCGGCUUCGGUCAACCCCUUAGGAUAACUUAUCCUUUUCUAUUAUGUAUGAACUACGUGGUGACCUGAAUUCCCAAUAAAAGUGAUACGUAGGCGGUCUAUGUCAUCUUUGAUCAACCCA